rnacentral:rRNA from 1 species
AGUUUGAUCCUGGCUCAGAAUGAACGCUGGCGGCGUGGAUAAGACAUGCAAGUCGAACGGAAACACUGAUUAGUUUACUAAGAUGUGUUUUAGUGGCGGACGGGUUAGUAACACGUGAGCAACCUGCCUCGAAGCGGGGGAUAGCCUUCCGAAAGGGAGAUUAAUACCGCACAUGGUCUACGGAUCAAAGGAGCCUUCGGGUUUCACUUCGAGAUGGGUUCGCGGCCUAUCAGCUAGUUGGUGAGGUAAAGGCUCACCAAGGCAACGACGGGUAGCUGGUCUGAGAGGAUGAUCAGCAACACUGGAACUGAGACACGGUCCAGACACCUACGGGUGGCAGCAGUCGAGAAUCAUUCACAAUGGACGAAAGUCUGAUGGUGCAACGCCGCGUGGAGGAUGAAGGACCUAGGUUCGUAAACUCCUGUCAUAUAAGAGUAAGGCAUAAAGGGAAUAAUACCUUUUAUGUUUGAUAGUAUUAUAAGAGGAAGGGACGGCUAACUUCGUGCCAGCAGCCGCGGUAAUA